CGGGGGAAAAGAGAAGAACUGACAUAGCAAAUGUGAGAAAUCAAAACUUGGGUGUUUAUUUAGGGAGACUGUAAAGGGACCAUCACUUGGGUCUGGGGAGAGGAGAGGAUUUUGUGGGAAACAAAAGCACUGUCAGCUUUUGUGUCUAUUCUAGAUGUUCCUAGCAUUAGGCAGAGCUUACAGCUCUGCCUUUUAGUAAUUUUAUGGACCUGAUAUUUUAAGGCACCAAAGGGAACGAUGAUGUUCAUCCGACAUGUGAGAUUAUAAAAUGGUGAAGUGUUUGUUUGCAUGGCCUGGAUUGGUAAUGUCUCCUUUAGAGAGUUUACUGGUUUAUUACCCACUUGCUGGUGGAACAUACCGGAAACACAGAAACAGCAGAAUUAUUCUCAUUUAUUUUGUUGCAGUUAGGUUUUUAUGAAGACAGGUGUACAGAUGGAAAUAUAGAUAUGCCUGAGCAACUGCAAAUACAAGACAAAAAUACAGGAUUUGCUUGCCAAAGCUGAAUUCCUGCCAGUCCUUGAGUCCUUUCCUGGGACAUUGUUUGCUGAAGAACACCAGUGAUUUGCUUUAAUGGAGUAUAAAGAGCAUGUACUGGUGUGAGGAAGACCUGUGGGCAGAGAGGAAUAGAUGGACCACACAGACAACAUGACAGUUCAUCAUUAUGCAAGGUGGAUUUUUGCACCUUUGAAGGAUGCUGUGCCAGGCUUCAGAUUGUUCCUCUUCUAACCUUCUCCGAUGUUAGUCUCUUCCAUCACGGUCUCCUUUCUCAGCACACAGCUUUGAAAAGUAUAUUCUCCACGAUGUCAGAUCACCCGAUGGUGAAGCGGGUUUGAAGCCCCAGCUCUCAAAGCAACUUCCAGCGGACCAUGACAGGAAUCAAGGGCUAUUUAUUAUUCGUGAGGUUAGAGAACAUCCCCUUUUCACUCUUUAAGAGUGCAGAGGUUUGAAAAUGCAGUUACGCAGGGGGGUUCUUGGCACUGGUUCUUUGCUUAGGAGAGCUGCCCGCACUGAAUGCUGCUGCGGGAGCACCCCGACCUGUGCAGCCCCCACCGCUCUGCAUCCCAAUUAGAAACCAGGUCCGGAUUCAUUUGUAGAGCCUUUAAAAGCAGGUAAGAGUCCUGAGUGGACACAAAGGGGAUGAGCAGCAGCUUACGCAGCUCUUCUCCCAGCCAGGGCUCAAACCAGCUCAAGUUUGCAGGUUGCUGUUGGCACCUUCCUGGGGAAAAUCUCAAUGCCAGCUGUGGAAAACCCAGGUCCUGGAGUCCAGGCUGACCCCCUGAAGCUGUUCAUUGUAGGGUCUGAAGUUCAAACCUGUGUCUGCAACUUGAAUCCAAGAUGCAGAUUAAGGUCCCUCCUCCCUUGUGACAAAGUAUGUGCUAAUUCCCAUUGGCAUUCCCUAAUUCCAGGUCCACCUGUGUGUUUUGGGGUCACUUCACCCCACAAAGCAGCCUGGAGAAGCUGCUGGUGGCAAACCCAAGAACCUGUUCUCAUUAAUGCUCUUGGCUGGCCACUUCUCCAUCACUUCGUUGCUCCUUCUAGGUGAGAGUUGGGCAAAAGCACCCCAGGAGCUUUGGUGCUGGUAUGGAUUUGGUGAGGUUGGUGUAACUCUGGUGUAAGGAGCCAUCUGGUGUAAGUCUGGUGUAAGGAGCUGUCUGUGUACCAGGUCUGGGGCUAACUAUGAACCCCCCGUUCUAAGAGAGACCCUGGCUCCAGCAGAGGCUGGGGAUCUUCAGCAUAUGGAACAAGGAAAGAGCUAAUUCAGGUCUGUGCAGCCACCAGUGCUAAAAAGGCGCAAUGUGAGUUAAAGCAGUUGUAGUAUUUGAUAUUAUAUAUUAGGAUUUUGCUUUUAUACCACUAUACCGUUAUCCCAGUGCUGCUCAGCUUCAUCACACCGCUUCCCACAGCUCGGAUAUGCGGUUAUCGUUAUCCUCCAUCAGU